rnacentral:rRNA from 1 species
UGGGGGAUAUUGCACAAUGGGCGAAAGCCUGAUGCAGCGACGCCGCGUGGGGGAUGAAGGCCUUCGGGUUGUAAACUUCUUUUGCUCUGAACAAGGCGCACCAUGGGGUGUGUUGAGUGUAGGGGUUGAUUAGCGCCGGCUAACUACGUGCCAGCAGCCGCGGUAAUACGUAGGGCGCGAGCGUUGUCCGGAAUUAUUGGGCGUAAAGGGCUUGUAGGUGGCUGGUUGCGUCUGUCGUGAAAGCUCAUGGCUUAACUGUGGGUUUGCGGUGGGUACGGGCUGGCUUGAGUGCAGUAGGGGAGGCUGGAAUUCCUGGUGUAGCGGUGGAAUGCGCAGAUAUCAGGAGGAAUACCGGUGGCGAAGGCGGGUCUCUGGGCUGUUACUGACACUGAGGGGCGAAAGCAUGGGGAGCGAACAGG